rnacentral:rRNA from 1 species
UGAGGAAUAUUGGUCAAUGGGCGAGAGCCUGAACCAGCCACGUCGCGUGAAGGAAGACUGACCUUACGGUUUGUAAACUUCUUUUGUAGAGGGGUAAUGGCAGAUACGUGUAUUUGCGUGAAAGUACUCUACGAAUAAGCAUCGGCUAACUCCGUGCCAGCAGCCGCGGUAAUACGGGGGAUGCGAGCGUUAUCCGGAAUUAUUGGGUUUAAAGGGUGCGCAGGUGGCUAAUCAGGUCAGUGGUGAAAAGCUAUGGCUCAACCAUGGUCUUGCCAUUGAAACCGUAUAGCUAGAGACGAGACGAGGUAGGCGGAAUGUGUGGUGUAGCGGUGAAAUGCAUAGAUAUCACACAGAACUCCGAUUGCGAAGGCAGCUUACCAGGCUUUAUCUGACACUUAGGCACGACAGCGUGGGGAUCAAACAGG